rnacentral:misc_RNA from 1 species
GCUAACUCUAAAUGGACAGCCGCCUUCUGUAAUUGCACGAGGUGGGUUUUCAGGGCUUGCCCCGGAAUCCUCUCUCAUGGCACUUCAAUUCGCAAAGGACUUCGGCGCCCCAGGGUUGGUUUUUCUGUGCAAUUUACAAUUAACAAAAGAUGGCGUUGGAUUAUGCCAGGAAAAUGUCAACCUUGAAACUACAACAAAUAUAGAUAUCGUGAACCCAAAUGAAGCAAAAACCUACAACGUAAAUGGGAAGGAUGUUAAGGGGUGGUUUUCU